rnacentral:rRNA from 1 species
GGACGAACGCUGGCGGCGUGCUUAACACAUGCAAGUCGAGCGGAAAGGCCACUUCGGUGGUACUCGAGCGGCGAACGGGUGAGUAUCAUAGAGUAAUCUGCCCUUGGCUUUGGGAUAGCCACCGGAAACGGUGAUUAAUACCGGAUAGACCGCUCCACGCAUGUGGUGGUGGUGGAAAGUUUUUCGGCCAGGGAUGUGCUCGCGGCCUAUCAGCUUGAUGGUGAGGUAAUGGCUCACCAUGGCUUCGACGGGUAGCCGGCCUGAGAGGGUGACCGGUCAUCUGGGACUGAGACCCGGCCCCAGUCUUCUUUUAA